GCUGGAGAUAGUGACGUAUCUCUGUAAUCCAAGUGUCUGGGAGGCUGAGGAUUGAGAAUCGGCUAUCGGUGGGAGUUCUGAGUAGCGUUGCAUCUAUGUUGAUCAGGCGUCCGUAUCAAGCUUGGCGUCAAUAUGGGCGAUUUCAGGUAACUAAAAUCGUCCAGGUUGUUCGAUAAAGAGGGGCGGAAUGGCUCAGAGUGGUAACACCGCAGGCAAAAGCUCCCGCGCCAAGCGGUGAUGGGAUCGCGUCAGUGAAUAGACAGCCGCUAUUCAGCCCAUUGGAUACGUUGAGACCUAUUCUUUU
rnacentral:SRP_RNA from 1 species